AGUGAACGCUGGCGGUAGGCCUAACACAUGCAAGUCGAACGGCAGCACAGUAAGAGCUUGCUCUUACGGGUGGCGAGUGGCGGACGGGUGAGGAAUACAUCGGAAUCUACUUUUUCGUGGGGGAUAACGUAGGGACACUUACGCUGAUACCGCAUACGACCUACGGGUGAAAGCAGGGGAUCUUCGGACCUUGCGCGAUUGAAUGAGCCGAUGUCGGAUUAGCUAGUUGGCGGGGUAAAGGCCCACCAAGGCGACGAUCCGUAGCUGGUCUGAGAGGAUGAUCAGCCACACUGGAACUGAGACACGGUCCAGACUCCUACGGGAGGCAGCAGUGGGGAAUAUUGGACAAUGGGCGCAAGCCUGAUCCAGCCAUACCGCGUGGGUGAAGAAGGCCUUCGGGUUGUAAAGCCCUUUUGUUGGGAAAGAAAAGCAGCAGGUUAAUACCCCGCUGUUCUGACGGUACCCAAAGAAUAAGCACCGGCUAACUUCGUG
rnacentral:rRNA from 1 species